rnacentral:rRNA from 1 species
GAAAACGACUGCUAAGACUGGAUAGGAAAUAAAAAGGCAUCUUUUUAUUUUUAAAAGACCUAGCAAUAGGUAUGCUUAGGGAAGAGCUUGCGUCGCAUUAGUUAGUUGGUGGGGUAAUGGCCUACCAAGACGAUGAUGUGUAGCCGGGCUGAGAGGUCGAACGGCCACAUUGGGACUGAGACACGGCCCAAACUCCUACGGGAGGCAGCAGUAAGGAAUUUUCGGCAAUGGAGGAAACUCUGACCGAGCAAUGCCGCGUGAACGAUGAAGUAUUUCGGUACGUAAAGUUCUUUUAUUAGGGAAGAAAAGAUGGUGGAAAAACCAUUAUGACGGUACCUAAUGAAUAAGCCCCGGCUAACUAUGUGCCAGCAGCCGCGGUAAUACAUAGGGGGCAAGCGUUAUCCGGAAUUAUUGGGCGUAAAGGGUGCGUAGGCGGUUAAAUAAGUUUAUGGUCUAAGUGCAACGCUCAACGUUGUGAUGCUAUAAAAACUGUUUAGCUAGAGUUGGAUAGAGGCAAGUGGAAUUCCGUGUGUAGUGGUAAAAUGCGUAAAUAUACGGAGGAACACCAGAAGCGAAGGCGGCUUGCUGGGUCUUAACUGACGCUGAGGCACGAAAGCGUGGGGAGCAAACAGGAUUAGAUACCCUGGUAGUCCACGCCCUAAACGAUGAGUACUAAACGUUGGAUAAAACCAGUGUUGAAGUUAACACAUUAAGUACUCCGCCUGAGUAGUACGUACGCAAGUAUGAAACUUAAAGGAAUUGACGGGACUCCGCACAAGCGGUGGAUCAUGUUGUUUAAUUCGAAGGUACCCGAAAAACCUCACCAGGUCUUGACAUGCUUUUGCAAAGCUGUAGAAAUACAGUGGAGGUUAUCAGAAGCACAGGUGGUGCAUGGUUGUCGUCAGCUCGUGUCGUGAGAUGUUGGGUUAAGUCCCGCAACGAGCGCAACCCUUGUUGUUAAUUGCCAUCAUUAAGUUGGGGACUUUAGCAAGACUGCCAAUGAUAAAUUGGAGGAAGGGGGGGACGACGUCAAAUCAUCAUGCCCCUUAUGACCUGGGCUACAAACGUGAUACAAUGGCUGUUACAAAGGGUAGCUAAAGCGUAAGCUUCUGGCGAAUCUCAAAAAAGCAGUCUCAGUUCGGAUUGAAGUCUGCAACUCGACUUCAUGAAGUUGGAAUCGCUAGUAAUCGCGAAUCAGCAUGUCGCGGUGAAUACGUUCUCGGGGUUUGUACACACCGCCCGUCA